rnacentral:rRNA from 1 species
CCUACGGGGUGCAGCAGUGGGGAAUUUUGCGCAAUGCUCGUAAGAGUGACGCAGCGACGCCGCGUGAAUGACGAAGGCCUUCGGGUCGUAAAGUUCUUUCGACAGGGAAGAAAAUGCAUAUAAGUAACUGUGUAUGUAUUGACGGUACCCGAAGAAAAAGCAUCGGCUAACUCCGUGCCAGCAGCCGCGGUAAUACGGAGGAUGCGAGCGUUAUCCGGAUUUAUUGGGUUUAAAGGGUGCGCAGGCGGAUUGUUAAGUCAGCGGUCAAAUCGUGGGGCUAAACCCCAUCCAGCCGUUGAAACUGGGGAUCUAGAGUGUGCGAGAGGUAUGCGGAAUGCGUGGUGUAGCGGUGAAAUGCAUAGAUAUCACGCAGAACCCCGAUUGCGAAGGCAGCAUACCGGUGCACAACUGACGCUCAGGCACGAAAGCGUGGGUAUCGAACAGGAGUAGAUACCCUGGUAGUC